GGGGACGUAGCUCAGAUGGUAGAGCACUUGCUUAGCCUGCGAGAGGUGUGGGGAUUGAUAUUCCGCGCCCUCU